UCCAACAUUUCCUGUGUCAUUAUCUAAGUAUGGCACUGACAGAAGAUCUGGGACUAGGAUUGCAUGCCGAUUUCAAGCGAGUUGGAAAUUUCUUCGGUUUACCUAUUUAUUGAUUUAUUUUUCAUUCAACUUUAUUAAAGAUUAUGUGUUUAUGCUAUUCGCUGUAAAGAGCAGCAAUCAUUUCUAUCCUUACCAUUCUGCCCUUACGGGGGCUAGUCUCGGCAAAAAUUGUGAA